UCGAGAGGCUUCUACAAUGGGGGAAACCCUGAUAGAGCGACGCCGCGUGGGUGAUGAAGGUCUUCGGAUCGUAAAGCCCUUUCAGCAGGGAAGAACGGAUUGGUGCUAAUAUCACCGUAUCCAUGACGGUACCUGCAGACGAAGCUCCGGCUAACUCCGUGCCAGCAGCCGCGGUACGACGGAGGGAGCAAGCGGUGUUCGGCUUUACUGGGCGUAACGGGCGUCUAGGCGGGUUGGUCAGUCAGGUGUGAAACCCCCCGGCUCAACCGGGUAUCUGCACUUGAUACUGCCGAUCUUGAGUACGGAAGAGGAAAGCGGAAGUCCUGGUGUAGCGGUGAAAUGCGUAGAUAUCAGGAAGAACACCGGUGGCGAAGGCGGCUUUCUGGUCCGAUACUGACGCUAAAGCGCGAAAGUGUGGGGAGCAAACA
rnacentral:rRNA from 1 species